UUCAAUUCCCGUCGUUCGCCCAU
rnacentral:tRNA from 1 species